rnacentral:rRNA from 1 species
AUCGAACGCUGGCGGCAGGCCUAACACAUGCAAGUCGAGCGAGCGUCGGACGGGUGAGUAAUGUAUGGGGACUGCCUGACCUCGGGGGUUAAGUACGGGAAACGUUAGCUACUACCGCAUAAUAUCGGAUCACCCAUAUGGGAUUAGCUAGUCGGUGAGGUAAUGGCUCACCUAGGCGACGAUCCCUAGCUGGGCUGGUAGGUUGAUGAGCCACACUGGGACUGAGACACGGGCCAGACUCCUACCACGACAACAGUUAAAAAUAUUGCACAAUGGGCGCAAGCCUGAUUCAGCCAUGCCGCGUGUAUGAAGAAGGCCCUAGGGUUGUAAAGUACUUUCAGUCGGGAGGCGUUACCGACAGAAGAAGCACCGGCUAACUCCGUGCCAGCAGCCGCGGUAAUUC